UGGGGAAUAUUGGACAAUGGGGGAAACCCUGAUCCAGCAAUGCCGCGUGUGCGAUGAAGGCCUGCGGGUUGUAAAGCACUUUCGGUGGAGAAGAAAGUCUCAAAUUUAAUACAUUUGGGAUCUGACGUUAUCCACAGAAGAAGCACCGGCAAACUCUGUGCCAGCAGCCGCGGUAAUACAGAGGGUGCAAGCGUUAAUCGGAGUUACUGGGCGUAAAGGGCGCGUAGGCUGGUAUUUAAGUCGAUUGUGAAAUCCCUGGGCUCAACCUAGGAAUUGCAGUCGAUACUGAGUAUCUUGAGUAUGGUAGAGGAAAGUGGAAUUCUCGGUGUAGUGGUUAAAUACGUAGAUAUCGAGAAGAACAUCGGUGGCGAAGGCGGCUUUCUGGCCCAAUACUGACGCUGAGGCGCGAAAGCGUGGGGAGCAAACAGG
rnacentral:rRNA from 1 species